rnacentral:tmRNA from 2 species
GGGGACGACAUUGGUUUCGACUGUUGUUGACUUGGAUUCAGUGGCAUGCAGAGGUGAGGGUCCUACUUAAUAACCUUCAACUUUAAUAACCGCUAACAACGAAUUAGCCCUAGCAGCUUAAGAACCUGCUACGAGACUUAACUCUGUUUCCUUUGGUGGACUAAGUCUCGCAACUCUCAAAGGAUUCUAAUGGAAGUUCAUCAGGUUGGUCCAUUGGAAAACAUCAAUCCGAGUAAGGAAGGAAUACCCGGUCAUUGGUUCCACCUUCCCGACAAUUCAGAAUGACAUAAGCAUGUAGAGGCUGUUUUUGAGAAUAAUAGGACCUGGGUUCGAAUCCCAGCGUCUCCAUUU